GACGAACCGUGCGAACGUUAUUCGGAAUCACUGGGCUUAAAGCGCGUGUAGGCGGGACGGCACGUCUGUCGCUGAAAUCCCUCGGCUUAACCGGGGAACUGCGUCUGAUACUGGAUGGCUAGAGGUUGGGAGAGGGAUGCGGAAUUCCAGGUGUAGCGGUGAAAUGCGCAGAUAUCGGGAGGAACACCAGUGGCGAAGGCGGCACUCUGGGCCGGAACUGACGCUGAGGAGCGAAAGCGUGGGGAGCGAACAGG
rnacentral:rRNA from 1 species